UCAAAAAUUAACUUUAAUUAUUUGUUAUUUAUAUUUAUUAGUUAUGUUGAUCUAGAGGUCUUAAAAAUGGAAAACAAAACAUGAUUCUCAUUCUAGUACAAAAACUCAUUUAACUUGUAAAUAACUGUUAAAAAACUGACACUGUUCAUACCCAGAUAAUAACUCAAUCUAAACUAAAAGUUGCCGCUAAUAGGGAAUAUAUAGUCUAAUUAACAUAACAAUUUAUUGAGUAUCCAAAGAAUGGACUGACACAAUAAAAAUAAUUCAUCAUUAAAUCAACGUAGGGAACUAAUUUAAGCAAUCUUAUCACCUAAUAAUAAUUUUCUGAAAUAUUCAACAAAGAAACAAAUCACACUAGUCAUCAUAUUCAAAAUUAAAUAAUUGAAAUAUGUGCAAAUAGAAUAAGAGAUUCAAUUGUAGAAGACAUUAGUUAAUAGACUUUUAGUAUAAUGUUUGAUGAAGUACGAUGUUAUAAAGAAGAACAAAUGUUUUAUAUUAUUUUAAAACUUGUAAAUUAAAUACUAAAGCUCAAAUAAUUUCACAAUCUUAUGUUUAUGCUAACAUCAUAUCUGGAAAUUUAAUGGAGUCAAUCAAAAAUUAGAACUAAAUUUUCAAAAGCGAUUAUACUCAUUGUAUGUUCACAGAAUAAAUCUUUUGGUUGCAGAUAUGAGAAAAAAUAUUAAAGUAAAAACCAAUAUUAAUAAAAUAUAUUUGUUUUAUUAAAAUAUUAAACAUUUUUAGGAAACUUUAAGUUUUUUUAACAUGAUUAAAUGUGUAUAUGUUAAUUUUUCUCUUCCCCAAUGAAUUGUUAAUUAGUUGAAUUGGAAAAAAACUUAGAUAUAAAAACAAAAACUGUAGGUUAAUUACUAAUUACUAAUUACUAGAUUGAAUUGUAAAUUUAAAAACUGUGAAGCCAUUAAAUAAUGUUUCAAAAGUAUUCGUAUUGUACUUAAAAGAGAAAUAGAAAAUGAAGCUUAUAUAGAUGUCAAUAAAGAAAAAUGUACAAUUU